rnacentral:lncRNA from 1 species
UUAGAUAUGGGUAACAAGUGCUCUAAGGUUAAGGUUAUGGUAUGUUAACGGUGAGGAUGAGCAAAGAUAAUGGAAGUGAUGUUUGAGAUGGAAUGGUACUUAGCCGGCGGGAUCAAUGACAUAGUGGAGGUGGCCGGAAUGUUGUAGAAGGAGGUUUGAAGGUGAUGUCUGUGUGUAUGGUGGUGGUUAAAGGUUGAGAAACAGAGAUGAGGUGUGGUACUCGGGAUAUGGUUGUGAGAGGCGAAGGUGUUGAUGGCUUAAAAGAGAUGAAGGGUUUUCAUAGAUUGAAAACGGGUUCCUUGGUGUUGUUGUAUUAUAAGGUCUUUGUGGACUUGCAAGGGAAAAUAAAAUAUUUGUUCUCUGUUUUUCCUCUAAAAAUGAGAGAUAGAGUCUAUCUUUUAUGAAAAUGAGAACAAGAGAGGCAUGAUACAUGGAGGGAGAAAAAAAAAAAGAGGAAAUUGUUAAAGGGACGUGUCACCUGCUCUGAGUGGGAGGAGUGAAAAUAAAAAGUAAAAAUGUGUCCCGCUAUAAGUGGAGAGCUUUUGUAAUGGUUAGGAUCACAUGAAUUAGGGGAGAGACGUGGCAAGAGUGAGGGGUCAAUGUAUUCCAAUUUUUUAUUCUCUUAUUGUUUUUUUUUAAUUUGGAAAAUAGGUUUCAACAAUUAAAUAAAAAAUAGAAUAAAUCGCAUAUACUCAAAAGGAGUCGAAAAAAUAAAACGAGCACUCCAGGUUAAACUAUGUAAACCAUAGAUUAAUAAAAUCGACGUCUGCAAGCUCGAUCUUUAAAUUUUUCGCCCACAAAGUUUAUGCACAUCUGAGAAACCAUUCCACUGGUCUAUCUGCAAAAUUGAAAAAAAAAUUGGUCGAUAUUUUAAGCAUUAUGCAGAAAGAAAUGCAUGUUAUGAUAUGCAGAUGAUGCAAAUGUCUGGUGAAUGCACUGAUUUAUUGAUCGAGGGGAGAAAUUGGGGUAUGAAAGUUGCCCCUAUUUAAAUAUCCUUAACUGGAGGAUAUGAAGAACUCUUGUCUUCAAAUCAUCAUGGUGAAAGAUAGUUUAAAUACCAAACAAACCCAAAAUUUAAUUUUUUAUGCAAUGGAAUGAUAUGCUUAUGAUUAUGAAUGAAAUGGCAGGAUUAAGAAAUACUCUUGAUUUCUUAGUCAUCAGAUGAUUGAUAUGAAUGAAAAUAUUCUAGGGAUAUGAUAGGUUAAUACUUAUUCAACAAUUGGUAGAUCUCUCUGGGGAUUAAAAGAUCAUGUUCAACCGCUCUUGGUUGACAUUAGAUUUCUUUAGCGAUUAGAAAAUCAUGUACAGCUGCUAUUGGUUGACAAUAGAUUUAUCUGGGAUUGAAAUGUUCAACUACUCCCACUGCUUUUUACCGAUAAAAUGAUCAACAGGGUCAUCUUCGCCUCAGGAAUUUGGUAAGGAAAGUUUCUUUCUCAAGUUUGUUGCUUGGAUCUAACACAAAGAUAUCUCUGUAUUUUGUUGAAAUUGAAAACCUUGAUCUAACACAAAAAGAUCUUUGUGUUGUUGAUAUUUGAAAGGCUUGGACCUAACACAAAGAGAUCCUCACACUGUUGGGCAUGAUGUUCCGAUCUUACACAGUAAUUGUGGCACUAUUGAAAUUGAUACUUGGAUCUAACACAAAGAGAUCCUCGUACACUAGAGGUAGAAUGUUUCUAUCUAACACAAAGAGAUCGUCAUUUUGUCGAUGAUUAAUGUUCAGAUAUAACACAAAGAGGUCUACACAACCUUGAAAAUAAAGAAACUUUGAUCUGACACAAAGAUAUCAUUGCCCUUGUUGAAAAGAAACUUUGAUAUAACACAAAAAUAUCUUUGCCCUUGUUGGGAAAUGGAUGCUCAUGCCUAACACAAAGAGAUCUAAACAACCUUCUUGAAAUCUUAAUUCUCUGAUCUAACACAAAGGGAUCUUCACACUGUUGAAAAUGAUGUUAAGAUCUAACACAAAGAGAUCUUGGCACUACUGGUAAGAAAAUCCGAUCUAACACAAAGAUAUCGUCGCCCUCUAAAAAUGAUGCUCCAAUCUAACACAAAGAGAUCAUUGCACCACUGAAAAGAGACUUUGAUCUAACAUAAAGAGAUUGUUACAUUAUUGAUACAAAACAUUUAUCUAACAUAUAGAGAUCGUCGCAUUUCCGAAAACAAGCUUCGGUCUAACACAAAGAGAUCGUCGCCCUUGAUUAAUUCGAUGCUCCGAUCUAACACACAAAGAUCUUUGCGCUAUUGAAAAUAAACGGUGUCCUAACACACGGAGAGCAUUACACUGACAAAAAGAAUAUGUGAUCUAACACAAAGAGAUAUCCUCCCUUGAUUAAGUUGAUGCUUUGAUAUAACACACAAAGAUUGUCGCACUUUUAAAAAUAAAUGUCGACUUAACACACAGAGAUCGUCGGACUUAUAAAAAGAAACUCUGAUCUAACAAAAAGAUAUCGUCGCCCUUGAAAAAUGAUGCUUGGUUCUAACACAAAGAGAUAUUCACAUGAUGAUAUUUCAUGCUCAGAUCUAACAUAAAGAGAUCUUCGCAUUCUACAAAUGAUGCUCGGAUCUAACAUAAAGAUAUCUUCAUAUUACUGAUGUUGAGUUAUGUUGAUCGUCGUCUGCCAGGAAGUUGAUGCUUAGAUAAAACAUAAAGAUUCUCUGGGGAAUGAGAAGAUCUCAGAGACUUGCUAUGAAAUGAAAAGUUAAUACUAACCAAAAGGUUUAGUAUUUACUUUCAACCAUCAUACUGAAUGGUCCAAUCCAAUUGUUUCUUCAGAGAGUAGAUCAGUAAGGACGACAGACUCUGUCAGGGAUUGACUCAAGUAAUCUGUUAUGAAAUACAAGAGACUUUCUACAUAAGAGACUUGUUAGGAUUUAACUGAGAAUGUUCAGUGAAGCUUGUUUAUUAGAGAACUCUUGCCAAUCAGACUCACUGUGGAGAUUGCUAACAUGAAAUACCCUUGUAAUGCAAUGGUUAUCUUAGACAAAUAUUUCAAAGAAACUUGUUGAGGAUAACACUGUCGGGGAUACCGUCCUAAGGAAUCAUGCUGAAAUGAAACUUGCUUUAGGAGCUAGUGAAGCUUUGUUGGAGAAACUUCCAAUGGAAACUCUAUGGGGAAACAUCUACUAGGGAAACUAGUCAGAAGUUUAGUUGACACUAGAGCUCACUAGAGGAAUAUCAAUCACUUUGAUGGGGAAGAACCUCAUCUUUAAGGAUCGACACCACUACUGGCAUGACUUCUGAAUAGCUUUUCCAACUUGCAUUGAAGAAAAAGAACUAAGUCUCCUUUGAGAACAACUCUUGAUUCUACCGAGAAUUAAAUUGAACUUCCUUGAAAGGUCGCCGAAUCUUGGCUAAGGUUUAUGCAUGUAUGCUAUAUGCAUGUUAUGCAAUAAGGAAAUGAAUGCAUGAAUAUAUUAGUUUAUGCAUAAGGUAGGUAUUAAUCUUUGAUUCCCUGACACCCUUGGCCUUGAACAGUUUUGACACCAUAAAGAUGGUUUGAGAAACUGUGAUUUAUGCUUUUCCACCUGGCGGGCUCCUUGUUGAUUAUUGUCUCCGGAAGAAUAGCGAUUUAGGACAUGCUCGGAUCAUAGUGAUCGUUGAGAUGCUUCACACUUUGUGAAUCAGCUACAUUGGGCUUUAUGCUUAAGCACCUGUAAAGGUGGAGAUACCUCAACUCCAUAAUAUGAGUCUAAGACAGGUUGCACCAGUAUUCUGAAUCUUGUAGAAGUAUGACCAUGUCAAAAGAGUGUUAAUUCACUAGCCACUACUCGGGGUUUCCUGUUAACCAUCGUAAGCAUGACAACUGUCAUAGGUCUAACACAUAGGCUAAUGGUUAGUAUUUCCUAUGUGCCCAAAAUCAUAUUAAAAGAGUAUCUCACAUAAAAAGCAUUACGAACAAGAAAAAAAUGAAUAGAAUUAUAGAUUAUAACAUUCAUGUAAAGUCAAAUCAACAUAUUACCCAACAAUAUUGAAAUAACUUCAUCAUAACACAACCUAACCUAAAGGAGUUUAGCUACUCAUAAUUCAAAAUACAAUACCAAAAACAAUUGAAGAGAAUAACAUAUAAGAUCUCUUGAAGUAUUGACAUCCAAUGGCUCCAAAUGCUCUCAAAAAACACUUAUGGUGCUGCAAAAUCGUACUCUCUAUGCCAAAAUUCGUAACCUUUUUGAAAAUGCAAAAAAUCCCCUUUUAUAGCCUUCAGAAUGGACCAUAACACAUCAAAAAAGCCCAAAAUAUGAGUCAUCGCGUGUGUGAUGACCUGAAUCGCGAUGUAGCCUUUAUGUCCCUAUCGCGCGUGCAAUGCAGCAUGAUGUUGCACGUGAUUAUUUCAUUGGCUGCACGUUUUUGCUCCCUUUUUCACCUGAAUUUUCACUAAGUCCAAUUUAUUUACACUUAACUAUUUUUUCCUUAUUGUUUGAUCUUUCUUCUUCAUUUUUGCUCCUCUUCGACUUGUUUUGAUUCGUUUCUUCAGUCGAAAUUAUGUAAUGACAGACUGUCAUUAGAUACCAGUAUAGAUGAUUGCCAAAUAUUUAGGACUCAGGUUAAUGAACCUUGCUGAGUAUGCUUUCAAAAUGAACCUUGCUUCAGUUAGGUCUUUUGAGGAUUGUAACAUGGAUUGGUUCUCGGUAUUUAAACAAAAGGAUAUAUGCUCAAAGUUUUUAUUUUAACCUACCUUAAUCUCCUUAAUGAUAUCGAAUAGUACAUUUAGUCAAAUUGACAAAUGUAUUCAAUUUCCAAGAGAAAUUUGAAGGUGUGAACAUGAUGGCUUGAGAACCAAUGAUGAUCAUUCAUUUGAGGUGGCAGUCACCUGUCUUUGUUUGGUAAUCACAAAUUUGAAUCUGUUAAGAAUUUUGGUGACCAUUUGGUUUUUGAUAUGAUGGUCACCUAUUUUUUUUCUCUUUUUCUUCUUUUCCCUAACUUUUUCCUAGAUUGUUUCUUUUGGACUCUUAGUCCAUUAGGAUUCCCUAAUUUUUGCCUAAGUGGCUUUCUUGGUAUUCGACUUAGUGGGAUUUUUCCUUUUUUCUUUUUCUACUUUUUUUUUUUGCAUUUUAGGAAUAAUGUUUUGACAUGUGUUCUUUUUUAUUUAAACAAGAUGGUGACUACCACGUCCUUGGUUAUUGAGGAACAACCAUUUUACCUUUGUAUUUUUCAUGACUAUUUCGAAAUUUCUUGACGUGUAUGAAAAAAUAUGGUUAAGCCAUUUAGGCGUUCAGAAUGUUCUCUUGAUAUUCGAAUGCGUAGUUGAAUUACUUGAAAACUACCAUGCCCUGGUUAAGAUUAAAGGUUUUUUUGUACAUAAAGAAACACCAACUUAUAUGAUCAAAGGGGUUGACGAGGGAUUGUCUUCCUUAUACCUCCGAUGUUUGGGAGUUGAAACAAUGUCUUACGUCAUCAGCGAAGUUUUAUUCGAAAGCAUAUUGUCCAUAAAUUUUGGGUAUUUCAUUUUCAUCAUUCUACCUCUAAUUUAUGCUUAGAUAAAUAUUUGAUAAAUAAAAGGGAAUAGGAAAAACAAUUAUAUAUAUUUUUUUUAUUUUUUGCGAUAACAAUGGAAAAAUGAGUGAACACGAAAGGAUUGAUUCAAAAUAGUGCAUGCUCAUUUCAUUACUAUUACCAUUAAAAUUAACAAUGUUCAAAAGCAAAUAAACACUUAGCAAACAAGAAAAAACUACAAAUGCAAAUGAUAAAGUGGCCUAAUAAUUUACUUUGAGGACGAGCUAUCGUGUCUGAUCCAUUGUCUUUGAGGAUAUGCUUCUCGAGGUAUUCACAUUUAUCCAGGCAGGGGGUUGUUCACUACAUUCGGAAGAUUCACAAAUGACAAUAUCUUUUUAUCAAUCAUGGUACUCAUAUAUAGCAUUGUACUUGAAGUUAGGUGGGUAAGUCACCAUUGGCUUAAGCUUCUUGAGAAUACAAGAGAUCUCUAAAUUAAUUGAGGAAGCAAUUUAGUGUACGUCAUAUGAGUUGGAUCAAACCGAGGUUGCCUUUAAGGACCUAUGUAAUUGUGAUUGUAAUUCUGAUUCUAACUGUAUUGGUAUUGUUGAGGUGCUUACUGUUGGUAUUGUGGAGGAGCAUGUGGAUUAUAUGAUUGAAGAACUUGAGCUGGAAUCGGAGUCGGACCAGCUUGUUGAUAAGGUAUAUGAGGAUAUUAUGCAACUGCUACAUACGAGUAACGGAAGUAAGGCACUAGGGCAGGUGCCAUGUAUUGUGCUUUCCGCUUUUGAGAGGAGAUGGCAUUUUUCUCGCCCUUCUUCUUUUUAUACUCGUUAGAAGGUUUCUUAAUUCCAGCCUAGCUACUAGAACCUCCUUAAAUCUUUCCACUUUUAAGACCUUAUUCCACUCUUUCAUCGACAAUUACCAUGUUAGAGAAACUUGAUGUCACACUGUUGCUCAAUCUUUCAUAGUAGUGGCCCUGCAAGGUACUCAUGAAGAUAUCAGUCAAUUCACGAUUUACUAGCGGUGGAUGCACCCUUGCAGCCAAUUCCCUCCAAUGUUGUGCAUAUUCCUUAAAGGAUUCAUUUUCUUUUUGUGACAUAAUCUGGAGUUGAGUGCGAUUUGAAGCUAAGUCAGUAUUGUAUUUAUACUGCUUAGCGAAAGCUUCGACAAGCUCAACCCAAGUACACAUGUUGCUGCGCUCCAACUACAUAUACCAUUCCAGAGAUACUCCAGUCAAGUUAUCUUGGAAGAAGAGAAUCUUGAGUUAAUCAUCCCUAAUGUAUGCGGUCAUCUUUCGGCAGUACAUCUUCAGAUGGAUAUUGGGGCAACUAAGGCCCUUAUAUCUCUCAAAUUAUGGUGCCUUGAUCUUAGGAGGAAUCACAACAUCCGGUACUAGAUACAUAUCUAAGGUGCUCAUGCUAGUGGAGUUGUGCCCCUCAAUGAUCCAUAGUUUUUCUUCCAAAGCACGACACAUCUAGAUAGAUUCGGAAUCCCGAGCAAUAACAAUAUCUACUACCGGGACAACCCCAUGAUAGUUCUUCAUUUCGUACUCAUCUUGGAGUUCCUCAUCAAUACGAGGAAGAGGAAUUUGGUUAGCAGUAGACGGCCCUUGUGUCGUAGCUCCAUCAGUGACCACAUAAAUAUGCCCUGGUUGUGUAGGAACUCCCUCAAAUGGAGGAGUAUAGCCUGCAGGAAGGCCAUAAAUCACAGGAUUGGGAACUGCAGGUCUUGAAGUAGAUCCUUGAAUAGGAAGUUGAUUCCUUGUCGCGACAUCAUUACGAAGCUCCUCUUCUCUUAUAGCCAUAGUCAGAAUGGUUUCCAUAAUUUGAUCCAAUUUUCCCUUGAUGGCGUCCAUCUCUUCUCGUAUGGCAUCUUGUUCUUCUUGAAUCUGAUUAAUCGUUCUUCUAGUAUUGGUGUCCAUAUCUUUUAUGAAUUUUUGAAAGCAAACUAUGUUUUUUCAAGAAAAAUGCAAUGCGUUCCAGGUAUAUGGUUCUGGGUAAUUUCAAUUGAAUCCAGGUACUGAUGGUAGGAUGUUUUCCAUUGCUUUGUAUACAAAGGUCAAGGUGACUCUGGGUUUAUAAGGUUCCCAAAGUCAUGGGUCAAUCUCAAGAAUAUUGCCCCCUUAGCAAAAUUUCUUCCUAGUUGAUAGUACCCUCGAGAGCACCCCGUCCAGGUGUAGUUUGUUUUCGUGUUACACCAACAAGACAAGUGCAUCCAGAAGGUCAACACUACACAACCACGGUGUCUCGGAUUCUAAAAGGUCGCUAGAGUCACAGAUCCAACAAGAAAAUAUUGUCCCUUAGCAAAAUUACUUUCUAGUUGAUAAUACCCUCAAGAGGAUCUACUCUAAGUGUGGUUCUCGUGUUACCCCAACAAGACAAGUGCGUCCAGAAGGCCAACACUAUACACUCGAUUCAUAUCUUAAUGUUUUUCUCGAGACUCGGUAUAGAGUCUAUCUCACAAAGGGUACCAAGAAAUUAGAACAUCCACCACAAUACACAGGAACCAGAAGCAGAUAAGUAAUGGAAAAAAGAGAUAAAAAAAGAUAGAAUAAAACAAGUCAACAAAGUUAACAUUCAUUGUAAAUUAAACUAAAUUAGGCUUGACUCUUUCUUGCAGGAGAAAUAGUCCCUAGGAGAUUCUCCAAUUGUCGCAUAUCAAAAAAUACGAUCCUUCGCGGGGCGUUCGCGCGCUCGCGGAAAAAAAUGAUUCAAACAGAGUCGCCUCCGAACUUUGUUUAUUCCAAAAAGAAAAGGGAAAAUAUAGACAAAAGCCUUAAAAAAAUUUAAAAUGGUUAUCACAACCGUAUUCGGGUUCGGGAGUCGAUUACACAAGGGGAAUGUAUUAGCACCUCUCACGUUCGUUGUACUCAAUGGGAACCUUUUAGUUAGAUUUGAAAUUGAAUGUUGGUGUGAUGUUAGUUUGCGAUCUACUAAUCAUUGAAUGAGAAAAAAGAAAGAAAAUAUUUUUAGUCUUUUUAUUAAUGUGCAUGACAAGACUUUUUCUUGAUGCUCGAUCUUGGAGGGAGAAGCCUUUAUUUGUUUCAUGUCGAUAUGGAUAAAGUGUACCAGUUUCUGAAAAGGUUUUUGAAGUUGCGCAAUGGCAAAAGACAAGUUUGAUUUGUUUGAGUAUUUUUGGAUGAUUGACAAAUAUUCAAACGAUAGGCUAAGUGCAACCAUCAUAUGAAUGUUCAGGAAAGGAAAAGAAAUUACUUCCGCCCUAAUCUUUUUCCAAUAGAUUAAUUAUGAAAUUUAUGUGACGGAUCAAGUUGAGUUUCUUUAACAGGCGGCGAGUAUUUGAACGGUAGGAUAAGUGCGGCCAUCACACGAAUACUCGGGUAAGAAGGAGAAAGUUACUUAUGCCCUAGUCCUUUCUAAUCCACGAAAGAAUUAACUUGAUUCAGUUAUUUAAAAGUAUUUUGAUGUGAUGGACGAAUGUUCAAAUGGUAGGCUAAGUGCAGCCAUCACAUGAACAUUCGGGGAAAGGAGGAGAAAAUGUUUCCUCCCCAAUCCUUUUUCAAUCGGUUAUUUAUUAUGAAAAGCGUUUGAAAACUUACAACUUGAUAUUGAAUCAAGUGUUUGAAGUUGAUUAAGAAAAUACACUGGAUGUUGAUCGAGGUUUGAUUUGUGUUGCAAAACGGUUUGAAAAGGAAUGGUUAGAGAGUUUGAAAUUGAAAUUUUUAGUAAAAUCGAAUGAAAGGUUAGUGAAAUUGGAAUUAUGGAAACUUGGUGUUGAUCAAGUGUUUUUGAAAAUAAAGCUUGGUGUCGACCAAGUGUUUUUAUUGUUUGAAAAAGGUUAACUUUAUUUUGUGGUUCAUUCUUAAUUAGUUCAUUUUAUCUAAUUAAAGGUAAGAAAAGCAAAUAAGUACAAAUUACAAUCAAAGGGAUGGGGGUUCAUUUUUCUGAAUGGGGAUUGAAAUAAGGAUACUCAAUAGAAAUAAAGUUAGUAUACAGCAAGACAAAAUGCAAGAGAUAGGAGCACAAAAACAUAUUUAUAGUGCACUUUCAUUGUAAUUGAAUCAAAAAAAGUAAAGAAAAAUGAAACGUGCACGGAUCAAGAUCAUGACGCAAGGACGCGAGUUGAUGUCGUGUAACACAAAUACGUGCACGACUACCAAAAGUAGGGUUCACAUUCGAUUUAAAAGUAACGAUGUUGAAUUGUUACGUGCUAUCAUGAAUCAAACGAGUUGUUAACACGAAGCGUAUCAUCGCAAAAUGAUUUGAAAAGCAACAAGAUAAUAAGAGUCAAAUGAAAGCACAAGUUGCAUAUCGAAACGCAAAUUGGUAGGAGCACAAAAGCGUAUUGUCACUAUGUGAAACCAUCUGACGCACAUAGAAUGUCGAAACGCAACAAAUCAACUAAAGUGCAUGCAACACUAAACAUAAUGUACUCAAAGGCCAUUUUUACGUAACGACGGCAAAUGAAUAUUGUACGCAAAUGUAACGAAAUGGGUCAUAAGCACAGCAAAAUAUUACAUCAAUAUAUCAAAACUAAAACCCAGUGGCAUAACAGUGUAUGAAUUACAUCACAACCAAUUGAUUCAAUCCAAUUUACGCAACAAUAGCAAACAAAACAAAACAACAACAUAUACUAAUUACUUACAAAGUCAUUUACAUUAUAUCGGAGAUGAAAUGAUUAAUGGGCCAAAUGCACAUAAGAAAAGUCCAAUACCUAAUCUAAAUUCAAUUUUUUUAGUAACAUAAAAUGAAUAAAAUAAAGAAAAAAUAAAAGAAAAAAAUAAUAGGUUUGACUUUUUCAAACCAACCAAAAUCAGUUUUCACAUCACUCAUCAAGCAAAAACACAGUGCAAACGGAAACAAAAAAAAAGCAACCUCAGAUGUCACGAUUUUCCGGUGAAGUAAUUUUCAAUGGUUGUUGUGUGUAAGGUCACAACGGCUAAGGUUUGAGUAAACUCGUAGGAGCAGUGCACACAAUGGUUGUUAUGGUGGUUUAUGGGUGUUGCGCAUGGUUUUGUGCGAUUGAGGAGACAGUUGCAGGUCGUGGUUGGCGCGUGUGGAUAGUGAUGAUGAAAUAUGCGAUGGUUUAUGGUGGAAAAUUUUGAGCUUUGUUUGGUGGUGGUGUUGUGGUUAACAGUAGUAGAUCAUAUGGGGAAGAAGAGGAAUGGUAAGAUAUGGUUAACAUUUUCUCAAAGGUGGAGGUUAUGGUAUGUUAGUGGUGAGGAUGAACAAAGAUAAUGGAAGUGUUGUUUGAUAUGGAAGGGUGCUUGGCCAAUGGGAUCAAUGACACAGUGGUGGUGGCCAGAAUGUUGUAGAAGGAGGUUUUAAGGUGAUUUUUAUGUGUAUAGUAGGUGGUUAAAGGUUGAGAAAUGGUGAUGAUGUGUGGUAGUCGGGAUAUGGUGGUGAUGUAACACCCCGAUAAUAAUAUGGUAAUUAUUUAAAUUAAGUUAAUAAUAUAUUUAUUAAUUUAAUUGAAAGUUGAAGAAGAGAAGUCAAUUGAUCUCGUCAUGAAAAUAAUCGGAUGCAAAAUUUCGACAUCAUCCUCUGAGUAUUACGAUUUGUUUGUGUUGUAAUCAUUUUUAUGUAUUCAUCAAGUACAAAGUCCGGACAGAGACUUAGUAUCAAAAAAAAUAGGGAUCGAGAACUAAGAAGACCUCCACAGGGGCACACCGGUCAAGUGAACAUACCUCUGACCUUAAACAAAAUUCUAAGUAAAUAAAGAACCUCUGGAAAAAGGUCAAGUAAAUAAGAAACCUCCAACCAGGUUAUGUUAAAUAAAACCUCUAUCAAACCAAAAUUCCAAGUAAAUAAGAACCUCUAGCAAAAAAGGUCAAGUAAAUAAGAACCUCUGACCAGGUCAUGUUAAAUAAAACUUGACCGAACAAAUCUAUUGAGUUCCAUUCAAACAAAUCUAUUGUUAUCGAAAAAAUAAAGCGCAUAGAACUGCAUAAAAAUUUUAAAAUCCAUCUGGGAUCUCGACUCUCUAUGUCUAAAAUCCAACCAGGGUUCUAUGAAUUCAACACGGGUCGAGAUCCACCUAGGCUCUCUAUUGUUCUACAUCGCGAAUCACCAAGGUUCUCCAAAUUUUCAUCAUAAUCGUAAAUAUUCCCAAUAUACGUCAGGAAUUGAUCCAUCCUCAAGACACGACUUAAGGGAGUUUUUACUAUAUUAAAAUAUGAUUAUGAUAAGUUUACGUGAUCCAAGAUAAACUCAAAACACUCCACCUUUAAAAGUCCUCUUGCUUUGGGGCUUAUGUACAUCCCGAGAUUUUUAUGAGGUUGAGCAUCGAGUUCUAUGACAUCAUGAAAUUUUGGUAAGCAGGUCUUGGAUAUCUUACACGGUGUCAGACACCGGGUCAAACAUUAUCACACCACAAACAAUAUUAGGAUUUAACUAAGAGCAAGAAAAAACACAAGCAGUUGUAACCAUUUAGGUGGCAACAUCACUACAUCUAGGGGCUACCAAGCCAGGAAGGAAAUCCAUUAUCACAGAAAUUAGUUCGAAGCUCUAAACAACUUCAGGUUUUACAAACUUCUCAACCUAAUCUCUAUUCGUGGAUGUUUCAAUCUAAGACUCUCUAGAUAUGAGACCCAUCUCACUUCCUUUAAUCAUACACAGUAAUAAUGACUUUAAUCAAAUAAUAGAAGACACCUACAAAACAUAUAAUCUACUAUUGCUUAAAAGCUUAUGAGUGAUUAACAAUUACAACUCAAAACACAGCAACCCAAUAUCAACGAGAUAUAAGAGUGGCUCACAAAUAACAAAACACAAAACCCUAACACAGACAAUAUCAACGUGCUUCGAUAUCUCUUAGGCUUAGAAACGAUUCUAUAAUAGUUAUUGGAAAGACAUGGCUGCGAGCUUGAUUCAUAGCAGAUCAAAGGACAUGGACAAUCUCUGCAGAUUUGAUUUCAAUCAGAUCAAAUAUUUCCUUAAAAUGUUUUAUAUCUUUACUUCGUAACAAGUUAAGCAAAAUAGUCUUUUGCUUUUUAGAAAAAUGCUCUACAUAAUUCAUAAACUAAAUCUUCUGAGUACUUCAGAGUAAAUUCAUAAAAGGAAACAAAUCUCAUAAGUACUAAAAUAGGCCACACUCCAAUUUGAACCAACAUGUCAUGACAUCUUGUUCAACAUCUGACAUAAUACUGGUUUUCAAAAAUGCAACCAACCACUACAUAUCAGACUUAACAAUCUCCCCCUUGAUAAUUUGGCUAAACAAACAUUUGCAUAUACCAACAGGAAUAAGGUAGAAUCAUUAGUUAAAAAAACCUUUCAUGCAAACAAUAAAAAAAUCCGAAAGAUCACCAGAGGCAGGUGCAACAGAAAAGAACAUUGCUCACAUCAGAGAAAUAAACUCUCACACGAAUAGCAUGCUUAAGAGAAAAUAAAUUCUCUUUAGUCAGGAUGUCAAGACAUUUUCCCUGACAUAAUUACAUGGCAGCCUACUCGAAAUAAGUUUAUCAUCAUAGAAAAACAAUGCUCCCCCAGAGUAGCAUCAAGAGCUACCCCCUUCAUAUAUGCUCCCCUCAGAGGGCAGGCGAGACAAGGCAUGGCUAAUAAACAUAAUUACAGAGUUAAUUAAUCACAAUCAAUCACAUAACUAUCCCCCCAUUUUAGCCAACAAGUUGACAAACACAUCCAAACAUGAGAGUUAGCAUAGCAAAUAUAGGUUACAAAACCAAUAGCGCCGAUAAAUGAAUAAUAUUCAGGGCAUAGCCACAUACAAAAAAAAACAGAAGAAUAAAAAACACACAAAGAGCUAGAGUGCUUCAGUCUCAUCACUGUUGUUAGUGUUCUUCAUCAUCACUUGCUCAGAAUUCUUCAUUUCCCUCUUUUCACAUGUUCCAUCACCUUUCAACUCUUUCUUCUUCAGCAAGGCUUUUAUCAAACAUUUCAAUCUUGCUUUCCUCUCAGUACAUACUUUUGAUAGUUUCAUCUAAAGUCUUGCACGGUAUCUGUUAGGCUCAGCAAGGAUGCUUGUCUAGUAGUAGGCCCUGGAAGAUGUCUGUCCAGAUGUCAAGAACAUGUCUGGAACAUGUUUCCCAAUGAACAACCAUAAUGUAAUGAGGAGAGGAGCGGUCCCUUAUGUAGAUCGUUGUCAAAACUGAUUGAGAUACUUGGGUGUGAGUCAGAAUAACACCACACAGUCAAUGAGGGAAAGCUAUUGCCAUCUUCAUAGCAUAAGAAGAAGCAUUGUUCAUAGCUGUGAUCAAAAGACAUGCGGAUCCAAAAUCAAAAUGACUUCGGUCCCACAAUAUAAUAAACUUACCAAGUCUGUAGCAAUAUUGAAGUGUGAUUGGUUUGGAACCAAUUAACAACCCCAAUUAUUGAAGUAUAGACAUACUUCCACACUAAGCACUUGCGGACAGCUUCCUUUCCUUGGCAAUCCUUUACUUUUUAGCCAGUAUUUCUCUGCAGAUUAACAUUGUCAGGCUUCUAGUUCAGCUGUUUCUCUUCAUUUCUGCUAAAACCUAUUUAUUAUUUCAGAGAAAAGUCAACUCUUCUCUAACAUAUACUUAUUGAAAUUCCUUGCUCCGCUUGUAUCACAUUCUUAGAUAUUCCAAUAAAUUCUUAACAAGCAUUUCAUAACACUUGCCAAAGCAGUUACCGUUUCAUUAAUCCAACCUCUUAAUCAGACUCAUCACCUCUUUAUAUUCAACGCAUCUUUGCCCAGUUCCCUUCCAGUGCUAAUCUUUUUUGAUAAGUAACUUUCAUUUUUCAACAUUCUCCACGGAGUGAAAGAAAUGUGUCAAUUGAACUCAGGAAUAUUGUGGAAUCUUCUUCCCAAAUGCUGCUUUCUGGAAGUAGAAACGAUGUCCUGAACAUUGGCUCGACAUCAUGGUUAGAAUCACUAGACUUAGAAGGAAAUUCUUCCUCUUAAGGGAUUUUUUCUUAGAACAGGAGUAAAACCUGCCUCCAUCUUUUGUAGGGCCAAUACUAGCUCUUUUCCUGAGAGAUUGGAGAGCGUGCCUGAAGGAUUCAUUAGAUUGACCUUUUCUGUUAUUCAGCUUUAGCUAUUCCUGAUCCAGCAUUUGACCAAUGGGCCAUCAUCAUAGCCAAAUCCCUAUAUUCCUAUGUUAGUGGUUUGAUCCUUUUUAUGUAGAUUUUUCACCUUUGUCAAACCAGAUCACCGGUCAUCCCUUCAGGCCCUCUUUAUCUUUUGAUUUUUCAGAGGACGGGGUAGAUACGUCACAGACAAUUUAUUCAGGGGUUCAGUUAGUGUUAUCAGUUUGGGCCAAGAUGUAGAGACAUAAGCACGACAUUAGCUUGGUUCAAUACCCAACACUUGAGAGAUCAUCACACAAAUAUUCUUGUCUACACCGUCUCUGUGUGCAACGAUCAUGUGAUUUACUUAGUAGUAACAUACCUAGAUCUAUUACUUCUUUUAGAGGCUUAACAUUUCCAUACAUUUGGCAUGAUAGGGACAAUCUUUAGAAACACCAUAUUUUGGAACAUGGUGUGAAUGAUUGUGUGACACCCUUAACUGCAUAAUUACUCUGAUAUAUGUUUAUUAUUUUAAUUAAAUAAUUGGGGUAUUUUAGAAGGGUGUUACAGGUGAGAGGCAAAGCAUUUUGUGGCUUGAAAGAGAUGUAGGAUUGUCAUGGGUUGAAUAUGGUUCCUUGAUUUUUUUGUGUUAGAAGUUCUUUGUGGACUUGCAAGGAAAAAGAAA